rnacentral:rRNA from 2 species
AUGAACGCUGGCGGCAGGCCUACACAUGCAAGUCGAGCGGAUGAAGAGAGCUUGCUCUCUGAUUCAGCGGCGGACGGGUGAGUAAUGCCUAGGAAUCUGCCUGGUAGUGGGGGACAACGUUUCGAAAGGAACGCUAAUACCGCAUACGUCCUACGGGAGAAAGGCAGGGGACCUUCGGGCCUUGCGCUAUCAGAUGAGCCUAGCUCGGAUUAGCUAGUUGGUGAGGUAAUGGCUCACCAAGGCGACGAUCCGUAACUAGUCUGAGAGGAUGAUCAGUCACACUGGAACUGAGACACGGUCCAGACUCCUACGGGAGGCAGCAGUGGGGAAUAUUGGACAAUGGGCGAAAGCCUGAUCCAGCCAUGCCGCGUGUGUGAAGAAGGUCUUCGGAUUGUAAAGCACUUUAAGUUGGGAGGAAGGGCAUUAACCUAAUACGUUAGUGUUUUGACGUUACCGACAGAAUAAGCACCGGCUAACUUCGUGCCAGCAGCCGCGGUAAUACGAAGGGUGCAA